rnacentral:rRNA from 1 species
GAUGAACGCUAGCGGCAGGCUUAACACAUGCAAGUCGAGGGGUAACAGGGAAGAGCUUGCUUUUCCGCUGACGACCGGCGCACGGGUGCGUAACGCGUAUAGAACCUACCUUUUACAGGGGAAUAGCCCAGAGAAAUUUGGAUUAAUGCCCCAUAGUAUUAUUGAAUGGCAUCAUUUAAUAAUUAAACAUUUAUGGGUAAAAGAUGGCUAUGCGUUCUAUUAGCUAGAUGGUAAGGUAACGGCUUACCAUGGCAACGAUAGAUAGGGGUCCUGAGAGGGAGAUCCCCCACACUGGUACUGAGACACGGACCAGACUCCUACGGGAGGCAGCAGUGAGGAAUAUUGGACAAUGGAGGCAACUCUGAUCCAGCCAUGCCGCGUGCAGGAAGACGGUCCUAUGGAUUGUAAACUGCUUUUAUAUAGGAAGAAACCUUUCCACGUGUGGAAAGCUGACGGUACUAUAAGAAUAAGCACCGGCUAACUCCGUGCCAGCAGCCGCGGUAAUACGGAGGGUGCAAGCGUUAUCCGGAAUCAUUGGGUUUAAAGGGUCCGUAGGCGGACUAAUAAGUCAGGGGUGAAAUCCAACAGCUUAACUGUUGAACUGCCUUUGAUACUGUUAGUCUUGAGUUAUAUGGAAGUAGAUAGAAUAUGUAGUGUAGCGGUGAAAUGCUUAGAGAUUACAUAGAAUACCGAUUGCGA